UCUGGUUGAUCCUGCCAGACCCGACUGCUAUCAGAGUGGGACUAAGCCAUGCGAGUCAACAUAGCAAUAUGUGGCAUACGGCUCAGUAACACGUAGUCAACAUGCCCAGGGGACGUGGAUAACCUCGGGAAACUGAGGAUAAACCGCGAUAAGUCACUACUUCUGGAAUGGGUAAUGACUAAAAUCUACAUGGCCCCUGGAUUGGACUGCGGCCGAUCAGGCUGUUGGUGAGGUAAUGGCCCACCAAACCUGUAACCGGUACGGGCUCUGAGAGGAGGAGCCCGGAGAUGGGCACUGAGACAAGGGCCCAGGCCCUAUGGGGCGCAGCAGGCGCGAAACCUCUGCAAUAGGCGAAAGCCUGACAGGGUUACUCUGAGUGAUUUCCGUUAAGGAGAUCUUUUGGCACCUCUAAAAAUGGUGCAGAAUAAGGGGUGGGCAAGUCUGGUGUCAGCCGCCGCGGUAAUACCAGCACCCCGAGUGGUCGGGACGUUUAUUGGGCCUAAAGCAUCUGUAGCCGGUUCUACAAGUCUUCCGUUAAAUCCACCUGCUCAACAGAUGGGCUGCGGAAGAUACUAUGGAGCUAGGAGGCGGGAGAGGCAAGCGGUACUCGAUGGGUAGGGGUAAAAUCCGUUGAUCCAUUGAAGACCACCAGUGGCGAAGGCGGCUUGCCAGAACGCGCUCGACGGUGAGGGAUGAAAGCUGGGGGAGCAAACCGGAUUAGAUACCCGGGUAGUCCCAGCUGUAAACGAUGCAGACUCGGUGAUGAGUUGGCUUUUUGCCAACUCAGUGCCGCAGGGAAGCCGUUAAGUUUGCCGCCUGGGGAGUACGGUCGCAAGACUGAAACUUAAAGGAAUUGGCGGGGGAGCACCACAAGGGGUGAAGCCUGCGGUUCAAUUGGAGUCAACGCCGGG
rnacentral:rRNA from 1 species